GGAACGGCCGGAUACAGGAGACGGGAAGAAACAAGCCGAUUAUGUUCGCGUUAAUUAAGUGGUUGGAAGAUGUAAAAUUCUCAAUUCUGCCAACUGAACAUAUACGAGAUUUUAAUGAGGAUGAAUAAUUAGCCGGCAUGGAGGAAACGGACCUUUAUUUCAUGGAGUGGCGACAAGAAGCCAAGGCGGGUGGCCAGUCUAAGAAGCCUCCAUCAUCAAGCUAGCAGAAAUCCUACCUCUCCUUCUGGCUACAGAGUACUUACCAAGCCCAUGAAAUCGAAUGCAGAUCUUCCUAAUGUGAGAUUUACAUAAAUAUGUCAAAGUCUCAACCUCAUGCUGCCCUCCCCCAUCCUCCUAAAGUUCAAUGGUGCGUGUUCUUCUAAUGGCCGCCUUCCCACUGGAGGUUUUGAUCCACAGCAAUUUAAAAGGUAAUCAGCUUUGAAAGUCAGUUCAAAUGGUUAGCUAAUAGUACUUUAAAAAGCCUACAACUCUGUCACCAGUUUCUUUACCAAAAAUUACCCAUAAAAGUAUCGCUCAAUAGCAUAUAUUGUAGUUCAAAUGUUUAGUUGUACAAAUAUCAAAUUUUUGGAAAUCUAAAACUAGUCAAACACUCAAAUGUUCAUGCUUUUUAUAGGAGGACAGAGCAAAACGGACAUCGGCGCAGAGUGAAGAACUGCCCUUGAUAAGGACACUAUGACAGCCAUAUAUAUGGCGGUAAGGAAGGGGUUUCCCAGCGUGUCCAGAAGGGCUUUGAGGAUUGCCGUGAAAGCUGGGGGAACUGAGACUGCUGGAAAAGGAAAAGAAAUUACAUUUUAAGUAUGCUGACUUAUGUUCAU